AUUUGAGCGCUCCCUGCUCAGUCUAUUCAGAAGUCUGGAUAGAAUGUAGAACAAUGAUGGCCUGUCAGCUGCCCACUAGUUAUAGAGGCUCAUGUUAUUUCCCUUUUCUUAGCAACCCCCGUAAAACCCUGGUUUUAUACAUCAACAGCCAUAGUAUCAUGGUUGUAUAAUGGCAGCCCAAUAGAAUUCAGCUAGAAAACCCUUCAUUUAUAAUUUCUCUCAAGGAACUACUCAGCAAGUAGGGAAUAUUAGAUUCUGAUGCAUGCAGAAAAUAAAGUCAUUGAAAAUGUGAUGCACAGCCAGUGUUUGUCUCUCUUUACCCAAAAGUCAGUUUUUCGGAGUCACAUUCUCCUCUGCUUGUGAUGAGGCUUUCCUAUACCAUAUGUCUGACUAGCUGUUAAAUCUGUGCUGAGGCAAUGAGACUCUAGUAGAGAUCUUCCCAUUUGGGGAUGACAGGUCCAUAGCCUUUUUGUGAAGGAAAAUGAAGGCAUUGUGGUGUCUAUGAAUCUGCUACUUGAAGAGGUCAAUUUUUGAUUAAGAAUAUUUUUAUUCCAAACUGCUUAGCUGUCCACCUUUUGCAAAUACCACACUAAAAUCAAUCUCAUGUUUUUGCUAAAUUAAGGCUUAAUAAAUUUGUUUAUAAAGUUG